rnacentral:lncRNA from 1 species
CCCUGCCUCCCGGACCACCCUGCGGGGCGCACCAGCGAUCUGGGGUGCGGGGCUCGGCCUCCCUGCGCUCCUGGCUGACCGUGUGACCUUGGGACCGAGACGUGCAGCUGUCCAAGGCUCUGUCCUAUGCCCUGCGCCAUGGGGCCUUGAAGCUGGGGCUUCCCAUGGGAGCUGGUAAGUAGGGGCCUUGGAGGCUGGGGCUUGAGCCCAGAGAGAAACGUGAGCCUGUCUGCGACUCCUCCCUGAUGGCUGCCUCCACCGCUCCCUGAGGAAGGCACAGAGUGCACUUCCUCCCCAUGCACAGAGGAGAGCAAGGCCUAGAGCCCCUGUCAUGUCCACAGCAGACUGAGGAGAGUUCUUGUCUGGGCCAGGCCUGGUGACCGCCCCCUCCAGCCAAGCAGCCAGAUCAGCACUUACCCCGAGGGCGAGCCCUGGAGGAUACGGUGCAGCUGGUGGUGUGAGUGUGCACUCCGGGCCAGCGCUAUGCUGGGCACUCACCUCCCUGCCCCUCCGUGAGGCAGAUCCUCUUUUUAUGUAAGUUGAAAAAACUGCGGCCCAGAAAGGGGAGACUUUCUAAAGGUCCCACAGAGGAUGCCCAAGCGAUCUCCAAGCCCAGACUUUGUUUCGGUUGCCUGUGGCUCCCUGUUAACCCUGGCCCAGUCCAGAGCAAGGUUAGCUCCUGAGCACCCUGCCUGCCCACAGAUGGCUUCGUGCCCCUGGGCACCCUCCUGCAGUUGCCCCAGUUCCGCGGCUUCUCUGCUGAAGAUGUGCAGCGCGUGGUGGACACCAAUAGGAAGCAGCGGUUCGCCCUGCAGCUGGGGGAUCCCAGCACUGGCCUUCUCAUCCGGGCCAACCAGGGCCAUUCCCUGCAGGUCGGGGUGAGGGGACAAGUGCGAGACGAGAUGGGAGGGACC